CGAUGUCAUAAACAUGUGUUGAAUAGGCACUGGUGAUGAAGCCAAGACAGCAUCUAACAGCCAAUCAGUUUCUUGCUUUGGACAAUCACUGCCCUCAGCCACCUUACACCGAUUACUGUGCAGCCUGCUCUGAAACAUGAGAGCCUUGACUUUGCUGAAGUGUCUAAAUGAGCCGGCGGAGGGAAAUUACCACAUCUAAUUACUUCUUGUCUGUGCUGGACGUUCACAGCUGUCAGGUAGAUUCAACUUCUUUCAGGAGAUAAUGACAGAGGAAAGCAUGGACUAAGACUGACAAGGAGAGGUCACUCUAGCACACACCAGCAGGGGGCGCUGUCACAAUAGAGAGACAGUGAGGAGUGGUGAGUGCCUGCCUUCUGAGAAGACAAUGAGUUAAUCUCCCCCCCCAUGUAGGUGAAAGUCUCCAGAAACCUGCCCUGACUGAAGGUGGAGACAGUGAUAGAUGCAGGCAGACUCCAGCAGGAGGCCAUUCCUCAUGAAAGAUGGGAUCCUGCUCCCACUGAACAUGAGCAGUUUUGCUAUUGACACUGUAGGGAGCAGGGUGAGCUCCAGGAGUAUGAAAGCAGGGAGAUUUGGGGAAGUCAUCAAGGAAAAUGGGCUGGGAACUUGGUGAGAGCAAGAAAGAAACCCUGGCCUGAUCCUCCAGCGCCUUGCACCUUGUGCAGUCAUUGAUGCCUGGGCAGAGUGGGGUAAAAUGCAACCAGGUCAGAUGGAAGAGUUUUACAGCCACCUUGCACAGAUGUCACACAAGGCAAUGGAAAAACAGACCCCCCAGUACAGAAAUCUACAUCCUGACAAUAGCACAUAAUAGGAUAGUGCUCUCCUCAAGAGCCCUUUUGCAAUCACUGGUGACCAGCAAGGGCACUAUAACUACCAUGACAAAUGGAGAUCUGUCUGCAACAAAAGAACAAACUUUCUCCCCCACAAGGAGGGUCUGAAAUCCAAGGGAACCUGCAACCUCACAUCUAAGUUCCAUGCAUUUUUGUGAAGCUCUUAGUUCAUCCCCUAGGCAUGAUUUUUCUUUUGAGAGACAGGCACUUUCUGUUUAAGGAGGGAA